CAAGUUCCGAAAGGAUUAAUAGAGAAACCGGUCAGAAUCCGGUACGAUCCCGUCACUGUGUUAGGGAGCAUUCUUUCAAAGUGCCACUGGGUAUUUACCCGGGAAGGUGGGAGAAUGUGAUGAUCUUAAGUCAGGAGAACUGCUUGCACAG
rnacentral:ncRNA from 1 species